AAGACACACAACUUUGUGUGCAUGUGUCACAAUGCCAGGAGGACCCAUUCAGUGUUGUGUUAGAAAAAUUGAACUCAUUAACCCUUCAUGGACAUUAUAAAUGUUUAAAUGUUGCCUCAGGUAAAGACAGGAAAAGAGACUAUUACAAAUUCAACUGCAUCAGAGCUGGGAAAAAAAGUUGAAACAGCUACAGAGCAGUGGGCUGUAAGGCCUAUGUUUCAUUUAAAGUACUCAAAUGUUGGAAAGACCACACAGUCAUCGUGCAGCGUACAUAUGAUAAGCAUGAUGGGCAUGAUCCUUCGGACCCAAAAGACGCACAUUUCAACAAUAUUUCCAGUGAUUUGAGGAGGAAGAUUGAGGAACUGCUUUCCCUUGGAACUAAGCCAGCCAUCAUACUAACCGAAUGUCAUAAAUGGGCCAAAGAACAUGGACACAGAGAUCUUCACAACAGAGAGCAUUUUGUCACACCACGUGACAUUGACAGUGUUAGAACCUGCAUGAUGAGGAAGAAGCACUUUAACUGUGGAGACAGUCAAAGUGUACAUACCUUACUUAAUGGAAAACAUCAAGAACAUGUUCUCUUCUAUCAACCAUACACAUCUGACCAAGAACUAAUGAUUGUUUUGCAGACACCUGUAAUGAAAUCAAACAUGGAGAACUAUGCAAAACAGUUAGUAUUUGUUGACACCACGCACUGCGUUAACCAGUAUUCAUUUCCCUUAUUCACACUUGUUGUAAGAGAUGAUCAUGGGCAUGGAGUCCCUGUGGCCUAUGCUAUUGUCAGCAACGAAAGUCAGAAAACCCUGGAAACUGUUCUUGGAAUAGUUUGUGAGCAUUUCCCAACUUCCCCGAGGUAAAUAAUACAUUGACAGCUAUUAAUUUUGAAAUAAUUCCUUUUCAAAAAAGUUAUAACAUGCCAGAAUCUAAUGCUAUAGCUGCAGCAUGGGCUGCAAAAAACUUUCCUUUCCAGUUGUUAAAGUUAUUCCUAUAGGCUGUAUGCAGUAUUUUAUACAUCUACUUGUGAGUUGAAAUGUUUAAUUUGGCAUUGAAGUGGUGCUUUGAGAUAGCAAAAACAUUUUCAUACUGUUUAAUCUCAUUUAGUGUUUUCUUUUUUUCUGUAGAGCAUUUAUGGUUGACAAAGACUUUGCGGAAAUAAAUGCUUUGCAGAAGGUUUUUCCAGAGUCAGCUAUCCUUCUAUGCUGGUACCAUGUCUUGCAGGCUGUUAAUCGAUGGCUUUCAAAAUCAGAGUCCGGGGUCCAUGGGCUUUCUAAAACCCAAAAGAGAAAUGAAAUCAUUUCUUUCUUUUGUAAGCUGAAAGCUUGCACAUCUGUAAGUGUAAUUUGUCUAUUUCACAUUUUGAUUUCUUGAUUACACUAAGAGCAUAAUAACUUUCAGUUGCUAAAAAAAAGUUACAGAGAGAUACAAAAUAAAUUUUUGAAACAAUUUCUAAAACUGGCUUCUUAUCUUGCUUAUCAAAACAAGUACUUAAGCUGUGCAGACCAUCAUUGUGUCACCCACUGUGCAGUAGAACUUGUGAGUGGGAUUCUUUCACAGACAGAUGCUGAAACCAAAUAUGCUUAUAGGUUUAGUGUUCCUUCAUAGCCAUUGUAAGGGAAGAAAUAAUUGCUUCUUAAUACAAAAACACGACAUAUUAUUAAUAACUUAAAAUUCUUAAUGUUAUUCAAUAAAAGGAAAAGGGCUUCAAUACAUAAUAUUAAAGAUUUCAAUAGGUCUGUUAAAUGGAUUGAAAUAUAUUCUGUUGCAUCCAAUUCUCUUAGGAGGACGACUUUAAAGCCACAUCAGCAGAGUUCUGCCAGACAAGCAAUACCCUUUGGUGUGCCAGUAUUUUCAGAAGCACUGGGAAGGCAUUGGCCACAUGUGGUGUGACUACGGCCGUCGCUUCAGUCACGCUCGUUCUAAAACAAACAAUGUGAUUGAAAGAUUUUUCCACCGCCUGAAAUACCAGUUUUUAUCUGGCUACAAGAAUAGGCGUCUGGAUGAUCUGAUUGAAGUGCUCCUAGGGAAGGCCGACGACUACUUCUCAGUCAUAAAAACCCUGCAAGAUGUGGGCCGCAUGAAAAACAGGUUUGCUGACACCUUGUCUCAAGUUUCAGACUCUGCUUCAAGACUGAUGGAAAGUGGUUGGGCUCUUAAAAUUACAGUCAAGAACAGCCAUGGAGUUAAUGCAUAUCAAGUCCCAUCUGAGUCAAGAGAAGACAUGGUGUAUGAUGUCUGCCCUGUUGAGUCCUACUGCAACUGUACAUAUGGCUUACGAGGACUUCUUUGCAAGCAUCUAGUGUUACUUGCAAAAUUAGCAGAGGCUGACAAUGACAUCUAUCCAAACAUGGAAACAGACAUUUCUACCUUGGCAAGAAUUGCAGUGAAAGAAAGGCAUUACUUUGUACACUGUGAGGACUUGAAAGUGAUAAAAAUGCCAAGUUUGUUUGGAAAUCUGUUUUUUUGCAUCGGCUGAAACACUUCAGUGCACUUGUUGUACGUUCUCUCACUAUAACACAUGUGCUUGCCUGAAGGUGGCUUGUAGCCAUUUUAAACAAAUGAAAAACUCUCUGAAAAGUCCUCUAUCAACUUUGAAUGACACUCCUGUAGUUGAAAGCACAGACAAAAAAUGCACAGAAGAUGCAGUUGGAAAACUAAAUGCUGUUUUAGACACAGUUAAACAGUGGGCAUUCAUUCCAGAGGGUAUUACUGCAAUGAUAGAUGAACUGCAUACAAAUGUCUUAAAAACAAAACAAGUAGGCAAAAGUAUAUGCCAGUACGAAAUAAAGACGACAGAUAAUGCACGCAAAAUUAGGCCAUUGUAUUCUAGCAAGAAACGUUCGGCCAGCAUCGACAUUCCAACAGUCUGUGAAAAUGAAUGUGAACAGUCGAUAACCACUGAAAGAGAGACAUCCUCUGGAGAAAAUGAAAACCUUUUGGAAUACAAAACAAAAAAGAGAAGAGUUAAAGCUAAGUAUAUGCACAAGUAGACUUUUGUGUGACAUUUCAAAGGGACUGCAUCCAUUACUUCUGUUUAUUGAAACCUAAAGCUGAAUAGCUGUCUUAACUUUCUGCCAAGGAACAGAUGAAAAGAAAUUGUUUGGUCUCUCAAGCAGUUGUUAUUUAUGUGUGUUAUUCAUUACUUUGGCUUGGUUGCUGUUUUUGAUACAAAUUCAUCUGUGCCCAUUGUAAUAUUUUCACAUGUUACUAUUUUUAUAUUGCUAUGCAUUAUAAAUAAAGGAUUACUUAUUACUAUUAAA